rnacentral:rRNA from 1 species
UACGUAGGCAGCGAGCGUUGUUCGGAGUUACUGGGCGUAAAGGGCUCGUAGGCGGCCAACUAAGUCAGACGUGAAAUCCCUCGGCUUAACCGGGGAACUGCGUCUGAUACUGGAUGGCUUGAAUCCGGGAGAGGGAUGCGGAAUUCCAGGUGUAGCGGUGAAAUGCGUAGAUAUCUGGAGGAAUACCGGUGGCGAAGGCGGCAUCCUGGACCAUAACUGACGCUGAGGCGCGAAAGCUAGGGGAGCAAACGGG